rnacentral:tRNA from 1 species
GCCCGGUUAGCUCAAUUGGAUAGAGCGUGAGACUCUUAUAAACGUAAUCUCAAGGUUGCGGGUUCGACCCCCGCAUUGGGCU